UACAGAGGUCCCAAGCGUUGUCCGGAAUUACUGGGCGUAAAGAGCUCGUAGGUGGUUUGUCGCGUUGUCCGUGAAAACUCACAGCUCAACUGUGGGCGUGCGGGCGAUACGGGCAGACUGGAGUACUGCAGGGGAGACUGGAAUUCCUGGUGUAGCGGUGGAAUGCGCAGAUAUCAGGAGGAACACCGGUGGCGAAGGCGGGUCUCUGGACAGUUCCGUGACGCUGAGGCACGAAGGCCAGGGGAGCAAACGGG
rnacentral:rRNA from 1 species